AGGUUUCUGGGGGUCCUUAUGGGUCCUUAUGGGUCCCUAUGGGGUCUCUAUGGGUCCCUAUGGGUCUCUAUGGGGUCUCUAUGGGUCCCUAUGGGUUCCUCUUUGAGUCCCUAUAGGGUCCUUAUGGGUCCCUAUGUGCCUCUAUGGGGUCCCUAUGGGGUCUCUAUGUAUCCCUAUAGGUCCCUCUUUGAGUCCCUAUAGUUUCUGGGGGUCUCUGGGGUUCCCACGUUUCCACGUCCCACGUUUCCAUGUUCCCAUGACCCCAUAAUCCCAAAAUCCCAUGUUCCCACAUUUCCACAUUCCCACAUUUCCAUGUUCCCAUGUUCCCACGUUUCCAUGUUCCCACGUCCCCAUGUUCCCAUGUUCUGAUGUUUCCAUGUUCCCACAUUUCCACCUUCCCACAUUUCCAUGUUUCCAUGACCCCAUAUUUCCAUGUUCCCAUGUUCCCAUGUUUCCAUGACCCCAUGUUCCCACAUUUCCAUGUUCCCACAUUUCCAUGUUCCCAUGUUUCCAUGACCCCAUGUUCCCAUACUCCCAUGUUCCCAUGUUUCCAUAUUCCCACAUUUCCACGUUUCCAUGUUCCUAUGUUUCCAGAUCCCACGUUCCCAUGUUUCCAUGUUCCCACGUUUCCAUAUUCCCACGUCCCCAUGUUUCCAUGACCCCAUGUUCCCAUGUUCCCACGUUUCCAUGUUCCCACGUUCCCAUGUUCCCAUGUUCUGAUGUUCCCAUGUUCCCAUGUUUCCAUGACCCCAUGUUCUGAUGUUCCCAUGUUUCCAUGUUCCCAUGUUCCCACGUUCCCAUGUUCCCACAUUUCCAUGUUCCCAUGUUCCCACAUUUCCAUGACCCCAUGUUCCCAUGUUCCCACAUUUCCAUGUUUCCACGUUCCCAUGUUUCCAGACCCCAUGUUCCCACAUUCCCACGUUCCCAUGUUCCCUUUCCAUGUUCCCACGUUCCCACGUUUCCACGUUCCCAUGUUCCCUUUCCAUGUUCCCAUGUUCCCACAUUUCCACGUUCCCACAUUUCCAUGUUCCCAUGAUCCCAUAUUUCCACGUUCCCAUGUUCCCACAUUCCCACGUUCCCACAUUCCCAUGUUCCCAUGUUCCCAUGAUCCCAUAUUUCCACGUUCCCAUGUUCCCAUGUUCCCACGUUCCCACAUUCCCAUGUUUCCAUGUUCCCAUGAUCCCAUGUUCCCACGUUCCCACAUUUCCACGUUCCCACGUUCCCACAUUCCCAUGUUUCCAUGUUCCCAUGAUCCCAUAUUUCCACGUUCCCAUGUUCCCACAUUCCCAUGUUCCCACAUUUCCACGUUUCCACGUUCCCAUGUUUCCAGACCCCAUGUUCCCACAUUUCCAUGUUUUCAUGAUCCCAUAUUUCCANNNNNUCCCACGUUCCCACAUUUCCAUGUUCCCAUGUUCCCAUGUUCCCACAUUUCCAUGUUUCCACGUUCCCACAUUUCCAUGUUCCCACGUUCCCACAUUUCCAUGUUCCCAUGUUCCCAUGUUCCCACAUUUCCAUGUUUCCACGUUCCCAUGUUUCCAGACCCCAUGUUCCCAUGUUCCCACGUUCCCAUGUUCCCAUGUUCCCACAUUUCCAUGUUCCCUUUCUAUGUUCCCAUGUUCCCAUGUUCCCAUGUUCCCUUUCCAUGUUCCCAUGUUCCCAUGUUUCGUUGUUUCCACGUUCCCACGUUCCCAUGUUCCCACAUUUCCACGUUCCCAUGUUUCCAGACCCCAUGUUCCCACAUUUCCAUGUUCCCAUGAUCCCAUAUUUCCACGUUCCCAUGUUCCCAUGUUCCCAUGUUCCCACAUUUCCAUGUUCCCUUUCUAUGUUCCCAUGUUCCCAUGUUCCCUUUCCAUGUUCCCACGUUCCCAUGUUCCCACAUUUCCACAUUUCCACCUUCCCAUGUUUCCAGACCCCACCUUCCCACCUUCCCACAUCUCCACAUUUCCACAUCCCACCUCCCCACCCCCCCAAACCCCCCCUCACCUCGGGCUGACCACAUCCUGCGGUGCCUGGAACCACUCCUGCAAUUUACUCUCCAGCCCCACUCCCACCUUAACCAGGUAGGAGCUGGGAUCCACGCAGCAGGCCCAGUAGCUCCUGCCCUGCGUCACGGCCACGUCUCCGAUCACCACCUCGACGGAGAGGUGGCAGCUGCUCAGCAGCCUUUCGGCAGCGAAAAGCAUCGGGACCCCCGGCACGCUGCGCACCGCGCGCUGGUCCUUACUGAUGGCCAGCCGGUCCCGAUUGAAACCCCAGCGGUUGUCCAGGAAGAAAUUGAGGACUGCAAUGAGGAGGGGGGGGGAAGGGGGUGGUGAGAGAUGUGAUGUGGGAAUGGGGGAUGGGGGGAGCUGAGCCCCUUUGAUGUGACCUGGUACCCAUCUGUAGGGUGGCAUCCUGCAUAUAGAAGUAGGGGAGGGGUCCUAAGGAGCACAGGGAUGCUCAGAGGAUGGAGGAGGAGGAGGAGGAAGGAGGAGGACAGUGAUGUGGGAAUGGGGGUAGGGGGAGCUGAGCCCCCUUUUGCCCAUUUGUAGGGUGGCAUCCUGCAUAUGGAGGUAGGGGAGGGGUCCUAAGGGGUGCAGGGAUGCUCAGAGGAUGGAGGAGGAGGAGGAGGAGGAGGAGGAGGAGGAGGAGGAAGGAGGAGCUGUGCUUUGGGUCGUGCUUUUGGGCAUCUGCUGGUCCUUACUGAUGGCCAGCCCCCUAAACCCUCCCAAUCCCCCCCAGCCCCCCCCCAAAGCCCUCCCUAAACCCCCCCAAAGUC
rnacentral:lncRNA from 1 species